ACACACGCUCUGACCGUGGCCACGUCCCCCCCCUCCCCCUUGCUCGGCUCCCUUCGACUCCGCGUGAACGCCGCAAUAGCUACCCGCACAAUGCACCAAGAGCAUAUCCAGCGGCUCACCUCACACGAUGCCGCUGUGCUGCGUGCCAGCCACGAGUUUCCGACCUUCACAGACGCGUUUGCCCGCGUUGUACAGGUCGGACUGCCAGAGCUGGAGGCGGAAGUUGGCAGGAUUCCUUCUUCAUAUAGAGUGAACGAUGCCUUACACGGCGUGGCCGUGUCGCUCUGUCUCCCAGCACUCGCGUGGGACAUCACGCGAACAUGCGUUCUGCCCGUCACGGACGAGUUGCGAAGAAGGACAGAGGCGGAGGUAGCCGGUGAUGUGGCAAUCUCAGGAGCAGAAGGCGGCACGGAGAAACGAAAUCACGCCGCACUACGACCUGAUGGACUUGAGCUCUUUGGCCGCCUAGCCGCCAUCUGCGCUGAUGUCUCCGUGAGUGUCUGCCUGGAAGUGGUGGAAAGCGCCGCGGUGCAAGGCGACGGUGGUGUCGCCGCGCGCCCGUCGGACGAGUCGCCGCUCUGCCUCCUUGUGCGGCCCCUUGUGCCGGAGACGCGGUGGCACUGUGGCCAGCAGAUACCCCUCGCUGAGAAGCACGUGUGCGGGCAUCCGUAUACGAGCCGCAGCCCUUCAUGUCGUGAUGGUGGUGUUUUCUCUUCUCGCGACCGUCUCCCGGAUAUUAGUGGAAGAGCAAGGGAGCGAUGCAAUCUCGUGCGCCUGAUCACCGUGUGUCGAGUACGCGGACUUUUCCACAACCUGCCAGUGCGCCAGACCCCUUAUGUAGGACUGGUCGGCACCUGUAGCUACGGCGUUCUCAUCGGCCGCAGCAGCGGCGGUAACGACGUUUCGUGGAAGACUGCGAGUGAACGCGAUCGGGGGGGGCUCUUUCGCCGCCGCACCUUGUGGGCCUGCAAGUCGGCGUCUGCCAUGCGGGCACGGCGGGAGGAGCAGCAGCACCUCGUGGCGGUUGUGUUCCAGACCGCGGUGUGUGCUUUGCUGGCACCGCUGUAUCUGGCCGGCAGACCUCUCGACGCAAGUGGAGGCAGAGACGCGUCGCUCGCCCGGUGCUCUUUCCUGGCGCAGGGUGCCUCUACCUUCUCUGCAAAGUUGAUCGUCGAGUAUGACUUCUGCGGGGACGCGGGCGCUCCCCGACGUGCGCCAGCUGAGACACUCCCAUUGCGCCCUCUUUCGCUCUCUACAUCGCUUCGCUGCGCCUCUGCCCCGCGCACAGGUCGUGCUAGCAGUGGCAUACACCCUGACUCCGUAGCAGCGGCGGGACUGCGCGUGGAUCGUCACGGCUUGUACAGCGGCGCUCUCCGGGUGCGGCAGGCAUCACGAGAGGUUGACAUUGGCGGAAGGGCAGGACGCCGACUCACACGAGGCGAGGCGACGGCGCGUCGUCUGUGUCACGCAUUCGGCAUCUCGGUGCCAGACCCCUCAUCUGUGUCGUCACCGUCCGCCACCCGUGCCGAUGCGCGUGCGCGACGAUUGUGUCCAUCUUCUGCGGCCGCCGCGAGCCGCGAAGGCGGUGCAUGGACCCCGGAGGAGACGACGGCAGAGGGAGUGUUGACAGAGGUAGUGGUGCGGCCUGGACACUUUGCAGUUCUCUUCGCCACCCCUCCCCCGCUGAGCGCCAGCGCCUUCCCUGCCCGCCAGGCACCGAGCGCGGCAGAGAGCCUCAGUUUUUCGUCGCUUCCUGAGCACCACAUGACCUUCUUUAUGAUACUCGUGCGAGAUGGUCAAGCGCAUCCUCCAGAAGACGAUGGCUGUCGCGGAAGAUCAGUUCCUCCGUCUUCAGCGUUGUGUCCGACGCAUUGCCGUGUGCUGGAACCUACGCACUGGGCCUACGGCAUUGUCGCUACCAACGCUCAUCGACGUCACCACGGCGCACAUCCGCUGCCAGGGGGGCCGAUCUCAGCAGCAGCAGCAACAGCGGUCCCAGUGUUUGUUUUUGUUGACAGUGCGUACGUCCCUGCCCGUAUCUCCGAGGCCCGACAGCGGGCCCGACACGGAGUUUCGGCACAGCAGUCUUUUGUGCAGCUCUACGACGAAGCACUGCGGCGCCUCACUAGCAGUUUGCGCGGGAGCGAGAGUCAGAAUGGCCCCCUCAGGGACGGCGAGAAGAUUCUGCCGGCCCAAGCAACUCCUCCGCACACGACCACGCCGGAUCCGCAGCAGCAGCAGCCCUCUUGCGUCUCACACCAUGUGCUUGCAAAGCAGGAGGCUGCGGAGGUGCAGUUACGAGUGCGAUAUCUCUGUCAACGGGUGCUAGAGGCCGCUGCCGUUCCUGGGACGCAGUCGUACGUGCCAGCGCUGCCCUCGAAAAGGCGCCGCGUUUUGACCGCGUCUUCGGAGGGUGUGGCUGGUCGCACUGGAGCUCUACAUCACGUGCAGCUCAACCCCGCCUCGCUGCUGUGGUUGAGCGCUACCGAUCGCGGAGUCAACCCCACGGCAACCGCGCCGCGUCGCACCCCCGUCACUCUCGACCGCAACCUGCACCGCAUCACCAGAGAGGAAGAGGAGGAACAGGCCGCACUGCGCUCUCGCCCUCCUUUGGAAACAGCGCCAUCCUCUCGCGAGGCGUCUGCCACUGCACAUCACUCACCGGCUGUUCAGGCCUCCAACACGGUGGAAGGGCUGACGCGAAUGCGACACCUCCUGGACACGGGGCGUGGGAGUGCGCUACGUCGAUUGCCCCGCGCCUGCGCGCCACCGUGUCCGUGGAUGCCAGAGAGGGGAAGCAACAGAGGUGACGAAAGCAGUGGCUUUGAUGCGGCCGAAGGUGCCACAACAACUGCCUCGGCCGGUGCCAUACCACCCAUCACCACUGCCUUCUCAGCGCGUGUGUCGGUGCUCCAGUGGGCACGCAAGUUUCUGAUCAUUGCUUCCCCUACCACCCCGCAGCGUGCGUCCAAGCCAAGCUGUGGCCCUGCAGCAGUGCUUCCUCAAGGUCCCGUAUGCCGUCCUCAACCACACGCGUUGCAGUGGUGGGUCGCGGAUCAGCACGCGGUGCACGAGCGGGUGCGGCUAGAGUUCUUUCUCUGCUUUGCUGACACCUACGUGUGUCACCCCGAGCUGCCGCGUGGCGUGGAGCGCGCCGCGAGUGAGUGCUUGAUCGCCGGGUCUGGCACGGUCUCGGAAUGCGUGCCUCGUACCUCCUUGCCGCUGACCCCCCACGCACGGAAGGCACUCGAGCGUCGGCACCGCGUUGCACAGCUGCUGUGGUCGCACGCAGUCACUGGUGCCGCAUGUUCGCCGAGUGCGUCUUCGGCGGCGGCUUCAUUCUCUGUGUCCCUGCCGGCCGAGUGGCGUCUGCGUGUGACCGCCGUGGAGGCACAUCUGCGUCAGUGGGGAUGGCGGUUCCAUCACGAAGCUGUGGCAGCCGUGCACCGAGGAGAGAUGCAGUGCAGCAGAGCCGUUGCCUGGGCCAGCGGCGUGCGUGUUGGCCAGUCCGCGUAUUCACGCACAUGGCCCGCACUGGCCACAGCGAUUGUGGCAUGGCCGUGCUUGAAGGUUGAGGGGGUCGUUCGCCAUGUCACCUCUAUGCAAGCGCUGCGGCAAACGGUGGAGGAGCUGGAGGCGGUGGGCGCCGCAGCGACUGCCGCAUUUGACAGCGCCUUCGUGCCUCCGCAAUCUGCUCUCACAGAUCCCGUCUCUUUAUGCUGCCGCGGUCCGGGGCCAUCACAAGUGCCGUGCUCCUCGUCGCCGUGUCCGCUGCUCAUUCCCUCGGUGUUUCUCGAAUUCUUCAUCUCCCGCUCCUGUCGCGGGGCCAUCAUGUUCGGCGACGUUCUUCGCCCCACCGCGGCGCGCUCUAUGGUGGCGGCGCUGGACUGCGUCGAACAGUACUACGUGUGUUCGCACGGCCGCCCCUCCUUCGCCCACCUCACCCCUGCACACUAGCGGGAAGCGGAGGCUCGCGCGUGCCUUUCAUUCUGUGGAGUUGUUGCCUCUGCUCUGCUCAUGUCUGCUACGUCAGCCAGAAGGCUGAUCCGAUACGACGGGGCGACAGACAAUCAAGCCAGCGCGCAAGCACCACUGUGCCCCAUCGCAGCCGCCCCUCCCCUUCUCCCUCGCUCACCCCCUACCCCCCCCCCUGCGUCAGGGGAGGACAAAGCGCAGCGUUCGGGCACGAGACAGAAACGGGGCCGGUGGAUGGCGUGCGUUGGCUUUCAUGUUGUGCUGCACGUUCACGGGGCUGAUGCGCCUCCUCAUUGAUCGGUGGCCGUUGCACGCUGCCUCCUUCCCCCCCCCUCCUCCGCCCUCACUCCUAUACUCCAUAUCCUGUCUCCUCUUUCACGGCACACACGCAUACACGGACUUCAACGCGCAG
rnacentral:misc_RNA from 1 species